rnacentral:ribozyme from 13 species
CCUUCUUCUUUUUCUUUUGUUCUUUCUUCUUUUCCCUCCUCUCCUUCAUUCUCCUCUUUUGCAAGCUUAAAAUUGCCAUAGAAAAACCUCAAACUGCCUUGAGCUUUAAAAAUAUCAUUUGAAAGAGCAGAACAUUUUUUUUUCUUGUCUGCAUCAUACAGUGAAAUUACCACCUUAUUUUGGUACUGUUUUAAGAAAAUAAAA